UACGUAGGGUGCGAGCGUUAAUCGGAAUUACUGGGCGUAAAGCGUGCGCAGGCGGGCUUUUAAGCCAGACGUGAAAUCCCCGGGCUUAACCUGGGAAUGGCGUUGGGACUGGGAGUCUGGAGUGCGGCAGAGGAGACUGGAAUUCCUGGUGUAGCAGUGAAAUGCGUAGAUAUCAGGAGGAACACCGAUGGCGAAGGCAGGUCUCUGGGCUGACACUGACGCUCAUGCACGAAAGCGUGGGGAGCAAACAGG
rnacentral:rRNA from 1 species